CAAAAAUAAACUUGAGACUUAGCCCCGAGCUUUGUCUCACUCUCUCAUUCGCCAACGCCGUUCAUCCUGAGGGUUCCCCUGGAUCCUGCUGGGGCUGGACCCCGGCAAGUGGCACCUGAACAGGGACCCAAAGAAAAACUAAAGAAGUUUGGGACUGCUGAUGAAUAAAAGGAAUGCCUCAGAGUCCUGAAUACAUUUUCCUGCUAACCUGUGUCUCCCAAACUUAACUGGGCUUACUUAUCCA